rnacentral:misc_RNA from 1 species
UUAGGUGUUCUAAAACUUGCAUGUAGGAUAGUGGCAAGAAGACCGAUGGCAAGCGCCCAUAGGAGGGUCAAGAGACCACAGGAGACGUACCAAAGGAUGAAAGAAACAGAAGAGAACAUCAGGACAAACACCCAACGGGGCUGACCACAUAUAUAAAUUGCUCUUUUAGCUGAUGGACGUCCACGAAUAACAGGUGUAAAAGGAGGUCUCAUUUUAGCUGCUAGAUGAGGAGAGAAUUGCCUCACAGUUCUUGUUACCUUCUCACUAAAAGUACCAGCAAAGCUAUCAUUCAGAAAUGCUAUGCUAACAGCAGUUAAAAGAGCUGCUGCUAUAGCAAGCGGUCGCCUAAGAAAGCCCAGUCCCAGAAUUAGAACGAUCAUAAGGAAGUAGUUAGUCCGGUAGUAGUAGAGAUUACACUUAAGGCGACUGUUCCAUUUGGCAGAAGAUUUGGGAACGGUGAAUCUGGAAAAGAACUCAGAGAGGGGGCGAGGAGGCGACGACCAGUCAACCUCACGAAGGGCAUCGAUCAGAUCCUCUGCUGUAACGUUACCCCAAUCCAUUCCUUUUAGUAAGCUGUGCGAAAUCCUAGAAACUAUUCGCAGCAAAAAUGAGGAGGAAGAAGAGAGCACAAAAUCUAGGGGAAAAGAAACUUCGCAAAGAAGUGAAAGAAUCGCGACGCAGAAAAUGUACGUGAG